UUUCUAAUACUCUCACUGUUCUGAUUUUGUAAUAAUAAGGGCAGACUAAACAUUCAUUAUAUUAGGAACAUGCAUGUGUCCCCAGACUUAGUUCUUUACCUAGGUCUUGUUUUAUGAAUGCUGGUGAUAAAC